ACUUGCUUCUUGAGAAUCCCAGAGUCUUCACGGAGAACUUUUCAGCUCCCGAAGAAUACCUAGUUGUUCAUUUUCGGGCUGCUCCCGGGACUUUUUAUGCUAGGGUAAUUCCUUUGCGCGUAGGAAAGAAGUGGUUUCUCAGUGGUUUCCAGUAAUUUCUUCGUUCUUUCGAUUUAAUUCCGCCAGUCGGAAUAUAUCGUUAUUCAUAAUAACGAUUCUUUCUCUUUCUUUUUUGGAAGCGUUUCCGGAUGUGGAAAAGAAUUGUACGUCUCGCUUGUAUGCAUUUUUGAGGUUAAUUCACUGAACAAUCUGUGCGAGCGCAGUUUUUUUCUUUGUUGAGUACCAGGCCUUACUCAGUAACAGGCGAUCUCGCACAUCUGACACUUGGUUGGCCAUUCUUAUGUUCGACAACU
rnacentral:misc_RNA from 1 species